UCUUUCUUUGCUGGCGACCGGCGCACGGGUGAGUAACACGUAUCCAACCUGCCCUUUACUCGGGGAUAGCCUUUCGAAAGAAAGAUUAAUACCCGAUAGUAUAAUGAUUCCGCAUGGUUUCAUUAUUAAAGGAUUCCGGUAAAGGAUGGGGAUGCGUUCCAUUAGGUUGUUGGUGAGGUAACGGCUCACCAAGCCUUCGAUGGAUAGGGGUUCUGAGAGGAGGGUCCCCCACAUUGGAACUGAGACACGGUCCAA
rnacentral:rRNA from 1 species